rnacentral:rRNA from 1 species
ACACGUCUACAUUAGAUACCCCGGUAGUCCCAGCCGUAAACUAUGCGCGUUAGGUGUAUCGGUGACCACGAGUCACCGAGGUGCCGAAGGGAAACCGUGAAACGUGCCGCCUGGGAAGUACGGUCGCAAGGCUGAAACUUAAAGGAAUUGGCGGGGAGCACCACAACGGGUGGAGCCUGCGGUUUAAUUGGACUCAACGCCGGGAAGCUCACCGGAUAAGACAGCGGAAUGAUUGCCGGGCUGAAGACUCUGCAUGACUAGCUG